UUCCCCCUCUCUGCUCCGUGUCCGUCCACUCCAAGCCCUCUCCAGGCUUCAGCCCUUCCUUCUGCUUCUCAACACCGCCUCCAUGUGCCUGCUGAACCCCCCUUGCCAGCGACGGUCGCCCGCCCUCCUGCUCCCACCUCGAACCCCUCCAAGCCCCACGCCCUUCCCCCAGCUAGAGCUGCCAGAUAAAAUUACAGGAUGCCCAGUUAGAUUUUAAUUUCAGAAGAAGAAUCCCUUUUUGGCCUAGUUUUUAAUUUCAGACGAGUAAUCAAUAAUUUUUAAUAUAAGUAUUUCAGUUCCAAUUCAGUCGCUCAGUCGUGUCCGACUCUGCGAGUAUGGCCCGCGCAAUACUCAGGACACACGUAUACUCAGUAAGUGCGGGUUAUUCAUCUGAAAUGCGAGUUUAACGGGGCGUCUUGCGUUUUUAUCCACUAAAUCUGGCGCCCUACCCCACGCCGCCCGCUCCUCCUCGCGUGGCUCCGCACUGCGAGAGCCCGCCNNNNNNNNNNNNNNNNNNNNNNCCUGGUGUGGCCGCGUGCGCCCUGCUCAGCUCGUGCGCCCCUCCUCUCUCGCGCUGUUCCUGCUGGGUCCCCUGCCUCUCGCCCCGGAGUGCCUGGCUCGCGCGCCUCUUCCCCGAGCGCUCCAUCCUCGGACCGCCCUCCCAGGCCCCGCGCAAGUGAUUUCUUUGUUACAAAGCUGUAUCACUCAAGAAGAUGAGAAGACAAGCCACAGACUGGGAGAAAAUAUUUGCAAAAGACGUAUCUGAUAAUGAAUUAUUAUCCAAAACAUACAAAGAACUCUUAAAACUCAACAAGAAAACAAACAAUUGGAUUUAAAAAUGAGCCAAAGAAGAACUACAGAUGGCAAAUAGCAUAUGAAGAGAUACUCCGCAUCAUGUCAUUAAGGAAAUGCAAAUUAAAGCAAUGAGCUACGACUACACCUCUGAAUAUUCAUCAGAACGACUGAUACAGAAGCUGAAGCACCAAUACUUUGGCCACCUGAUGCGAAGAACUGACUCACUGAAAAAGACCC
rnacentral:lncRNA from 1 species